AGCAAAGAACUCUCUCAAGAUCUUUGUAAUCUUAUCGUUGAAAAAUCCUGCGUGAUGCAGGAGCUGUAGUCCAUUUUGCCAUUUUUGUCAGAGUCUGACACUGGUGACAGUGUUUGAAGUCGAGAAAUAGGCACGAAUACCUUAUCAGUUCCUCUUCAUAAAAUCAGGAUUAAGUCUGAUUUGAUGAGCUGAUUAAGGAACAGCAUUUACAUUCCUCUUUGGCUGAAUUGUUUUCUGCAGCUUUUACUGGCAAUGAUGCAUUUGAUGUCACCAGAGGGGUUUCUUGACAGACCCCUGUCUUAAGGGGAGGGGUCACUCCGCCUCCUAGUAACUGCUUUUGGCAAUCCUUAAUGUCCAGCACCUGUUGCCUUCUGAUUGUGCAUCUAUUUGAAUGAAGUUGAUGUGUCAUCAAAGAGAGAGCUGUUUUCUAUGGGACUCUGUUUGUUGUUUUAGUUUCUGUUUAUUUUGUACAUUCAACACUGCAACAGGAACAUCCAUUCACCUUGCAUUAUACUACUGAUUUCUGACUGCUACAUUAUACUGGUUUGCUUUGUAUAAGUUACUUUUUUAAAAAACUUUUUUUAUUACAUAUU